rnacentral:rRNA from 1 species
GAUAACCAGUCGAAAGAUUGGCUAAUACCGGAUAAGCCCACGGUCUCUUCGGAGACUGAGGGAAAAGGUGGCCUCUGUAUACAAGCUAUCACAACCAGAUGAGUCCGCGGCCCAUCAGCUAGUUGGCGGGGUAAUGGCCCACCAAGGCAACGACGGGUAGCUGGUCUGAGAGGACGAUCAGCCACACUGGAACUGAGACACGGUCCAGACUCCUACGGGAGGCAGCAGUGGGGAAUUUUGCGCAAUGGGCGAAAGCCUGACGCAGCAACGCCGCGUGUGUGAUGAAGGUCUUUGGAUUGUAAAGCACUUUCGACCGGGACGAAACCGUAAAGCCUAAUACGCUUUGCCUUGACGGUACCGGGAGAAGAAGCACCGGCUAACUCUGUGCCAGCAGCCGCGGUAAUACAGAGGGUGCAAGCGUUGUUCGGAAUUAUUGGGCGUAAAGCGCGUGUAGGCGGCUUUGCAAGUCGGGUGUGAAAGCCCUCAGCUCAACUGAGGAAGUGCGCCCGAAACUGCAGAGCUUGAGUGCCGGAGAGGGUGGCGGAAUUCCCCAAGUAGAGGUGAAAUUCGUAGAUAUGGGGAGGAACACCGGUGGCGAAGGCGGCCACCUGGACGGUAACUGACGCUGAGACCCGAAAGC